rnacentral:rRNA from 1 species
UACGUAGGGGGCAAGCGUUGUCCGGAAUCAUUGGGCGUAAAGAGCGUGUAGGCGGCCUCGUAAGUCUGCUGUGAAAGUCCAGGGCUCAACCCUGGGAUGUCAGUGGAUACUGUGAGGCUCGAGUCCGGAAGAGGAGAGUGGAAUUCCCGGUGUAGCGGUGAAAGUGCGCAGACUAUCGGGAAGAACACCCGUGGCGAAGGCGGCUCUCUGGGACGGUACUGACGCUGAGACGCGAAAGCGUGGGGAGCGAACAGG